CUCGCUCUUUCCGCCGUCAAAAUGGCGGCGGCGGCGGCGGCAGCAGAGGUAGCGUCGACGCCGGUAGUGACCAGGCUGAAGAAGUUGCUUCCGAAAACAUCGAUGCGAAGGAUCGUCGAAUUGAUGAUGCGCACGCGCACAGCUCCAUACCUUCUAUCUACCCAACAACUGGGCUGGGAGAGUAAUAGUGUCUACACGGCAGAAGUGAAGAAACAGAUUUAGGCUAAGCAAACUGCCUGAUGUUAUAACUACAUGUAGUGGCAAAUGCGAGAUUGAAACAUGGACUUGAGUGGCUUUGAAAUCUCUGUGCCUUCCACAGCAAUAAAAGUCAGAAGAAAAGAGAUGGUACAUCUAGAUGGACUGGUAAAAAUGGAGCACUGCCAAGCAAACCCCAAGAAAAUGUCCAGCCUCAACAUGAAGUUUUACUGGCUUCUGAGGAAGUGAAAGAUGUCUGAGUGCGGACCUAAGAUAUGAAUUGUCAAGGGAUGUGGAGGAACAAAGAGAUCCACAGAUGGAUCAUUCAACUCCUGCCACAAUUAUGCUAUGUAAUGAAGAGCCAUAAAACCUCGGUGACAUACAGUUUCCUGCCUUGAUAUCGGUUCUGAUGGAGGUUCCUACUUGGAGGUUUCUGCUCCGGUAAGUGGCAAUUCUCUAUAUCCACCUGUCUCUUCCAUUUUGGGGACAGUUCUUUGCCCUGUGACCUCAAUUCUCUGUAGAAUCUAAGAAGAGUUGUUGAUUUUUGGUUCAGUUUUUUUUCUUAUUGUGUGGACGAAAGUGAUGGUUUCUAAGAUUUUUACUUGCCAGACUAGAAACUAGAAGUUGCUACUUUUUCAACAUGAGACUUAAAGCUUUGCCACAGCAGAAGGAAACACCUUAGAGAAUUGCGUGGUGGCUCCUAAAUUCUCCAGCUUGACAGUGACAUGUCAUUUCUAUUCAUAUUUCAUUGGCUAAAGCAAGUCAAUGAUUUUAAAAUGUGAGUAAAUAUAACCCUCCAGUGUUCCUAGAAGAUGAGCAUUAGGAAUACUGGAGAAACAAUAUUAAUGCUGAACAGAGCAUUCUAUAGAAGAUAGUAUUUCCAACUCCAUUUACCACUUUAUGUCUUCUUUCUAGCACUUUAUAAUACUAUAUUAUGUCAUACAUAAGGUAUUAUAAAGAAACCUAUUAUGGUAAAUACUCUGUUUAUUAUUUGUCUCUCCUCUCCUACCCCCACCGAAGUGAGGAUCACAGGAACAGGAACUUUGUCUGUUCUAGUCACUUUUUAUCCCCUAAACCCAGAAUAUCUAGUACUCAAUAGAUAUUUGGUAAAUGAAUUAAUGAGUGCAUAUUGUUUUAACCUUGGGAGCCCAGAAAAAUGAACCCUUGCUUGAACUCUUUAUCUCGGCCAAAUCUGGCCCAGAGGCUAUCUUUCCAAUAGGAAUGUAGCUGCAAAAACCUGUGCAGAGUGCUUGUCAGGCUAACUGGGCAUAGCCUUUGCUAUUAGGCAACAAAGAAAGAAUGAAAGAGGCUCGGAAGUUCCCAGGAACAUGGUGAUUGCUAUUUGAAGGUGAGAGUAUACACAAUCUGAGGGAAAAUGAGGUUUGAAAAUGAAUUUAGGCUUUUAAACCAUGCAGGCAAAAAGUGUUGAUAACUUGAAAAACAGGUAAAUUCUCAAUUGAAAAAUCUUCUUAUCUCAGGUUUAUGUUCAUAAUCAGGGAUAUGCAGCUCUCAUUCCUCACUGGAAACCAAAAAGCUAAAUCACCUUUUAAAUAUGAAAUUUAGAUACAAUGCUUGGAACAUCCUCCUCAAAGAGCGGACCUGCCAGAUUCUGUGCUGGUUGAAAUGUGGGCUUCUUGCUGGUUCAGGCACACUGUCUUUGUGCUGUUUAGGCUUAUUGUUCACUCUGAGCUUAAUGAGUUCAUUCAGGCAUGUAAUGAAGAACAACACUAUCACACAAACAAUUCACUGAAGUCCAAAGAUAUGGUGAUUUUAUCAAUUAUAUUAUUCAGUUAGAGUAAAUUUGCAAUUUAUUAAAAAUACAUAGAUUGAGUGGCAUCUGGAGUACUGUUGUGUUGACACCCGUAGUUUUCACAGCUAUGCUAUAAAACAAAAUCUGGAAUUGAUGGCAUUUGAUGCAGUCAGUGUAAAGCUUUUGUCUCUCUACUUGCUAGAGGAAAUAGAUGAGAGCAAUGCAGUUGUGGAUCACAGGCCCUCUGGUGUGAAAUUCAUCCUAACUAAGCUGAAAACAUUUGAUGGCCAAAGGCAUGGACUCCCAUGGCAAAUGAUUUUCAUUUUCACCUCCACUAGCUUUGGCUAAUGGGAAGAACACAAGGCUAGAAGGCAGGUGAACUCCACUGGUUAUUCAAGAAUUACUUGAUCUAAGCAAAUCAUUUGCUUUUUUUUUUCUCUUUUCUUCUGUUUUAUACUAAAGUCUUUUAUGGAAUUUUCAGAGUGUGUAUGUGUGUGUGUGUGUGUGUGUGUGUGUGUGUGUAUAUAUAUAUAUAUAUAUAUAUAUAUAUAUAUAUAUAUAUAUAAUCUUAUUUAAUCUUACAGCAGCUCAGUGAGGUUAGCUGGUCAAGUAUUCUCACUUGCAUUUCUACAUAAGAGACACUGUUACUUGGAGAUUUGAGUGGGAAAGAGUUCAGAGAUUUUGACCCUAAGGCCAAUGUUUUUUGUUUUUGUUUUUACCAUUAUACAGCAAUGAUGCUCUGGACCUCAGUUUCCUCAUUUCAAACCAAGGAUAAAUACACUUAGUUUGUUAACUUAAGUUGUGAUGAUGACAAGAGAUAGUUGAAUUUUUAAAUGUUGUGACUAUGCAAAGCUUUACGUAGUUGGAAAAUUAUCAUCUUGCUUGUGUUAAGUCCAAGGGCUCUUCCUUAGACCAUAAAACCUUCUUCUCCACAUUCUUCUACAAAAAAUGUUCAACAGUGAUAACAUGUGUAUAGACCCCUGGAAUUUACCAUUGAAAACAUUUAAAUUGUUUUAAUGUUUAUUUAUUUUUAGAGACAGAGCACAAGCAGGGGAGGGGAAGGGAGAGAGGGAGACACAGAAUCUGAAGCAGGUUCCUGGGCUCUGAGCUGUCAGCACAGAGCCCAAUGUGGGACUCAAACUCAGAACCGUGAGAUCAUGACCUGAGCUGAAGUCGGACGCUUAACCUACUGAGCUUGAGCUAAGCUACCCAGGUGCCCUGAUCUGGGGCUCUCUUAAAAGAAGAGUGGAAAGUCAUUAAAAAGCAGCCAAACAGGGGCGCCUGGGUGGCUCAGUCGGUUAAGCGUCUGACUUCAGCUCAGGUCACGAUCUCGCGGUCCGUGAGUUCGAGCCCCGCGUCGGGCUCUGGGCUGAUGGCUCAGAGCCUGGAGCCUGCUUCUGAUUCUGUGUCUCCCUCUCUCUCUGCCCUUCCCCUGUUCAUGCUCUGUAUCUCUCUGUCUCAAAAAUAA